rnacentral:rRNA from 1 species
GCCUACAUGAAGUCGGAAUCGCUAGUAAUCGCGGAUCAGCAUGCCGCGGUGAAUACGUUCCCGGGCCUUGUACACACCGCCCGUCACACCAUGAGAGUUUGUAACACCCAAAGCCGGUGGGGUAACCUUUUGGAGCCAGCCGUCUAAGGUGGGACAGAUGAUUGGGGUGAAGUCGUAACAAGGUACC